GGAGUAGCAAUACUCCCGCCGGCGACCGGCGCACGGGUCAGUAACACGUAUGAAACCUGCCCGUAGCAGGGGGAUAAGCGGAAGAAAUUCCGUCUAAUACCGCGUAACAACCCUUGGAGGCAUCUCCUCGGGUUUAAAGGAAGCGAUUCCGGCUACGGAUGGUCAUGCGUCGCAUUAGCUAGUUGGCGGGGUAACGGCCCACCAAGGCGACGAUGCGUAGGGGUUCUGAGAGGAAGGUCCCCCACACUGGUACUGAGACACGGACCAGACUCCUACGGGAGGCAGCAGUGAGGAGUAUUGGUCAAUGGCCGCAGGGCUGAACCAGCCAAGUCGCGUGAGGGAUGACGGUCCUAUGGAUUGUAAACCUCUUUUGUCAGGGAGCAAAGGGCGUCACGUGUGGCGUUUUGCGAGUACCUGAAGAAAAAGCAUCGGCUAACUCCGUGCCAGCAGCCGCGGUAAUACGGAGGAUGCGAGCGUUAUCCGGAUUUAUUGGGUUUAAAGGGUGCGCAGGCGGAAUGUCAAGUCAGCGGUAAAAUUUCGGGGCUCAACCCCGUCGUGCCGUUGAAACUGGCGUUCUUGAGUGAGCGAGAAGUAUGCGGAAUGCGUGGUGUAGCGGUGAAAUGCAUAGAUAUCACGCAGAACUCCGAUUGCGAAGGCAG
rnacentral:rRNA from 1 species